rnacentral:rRNA from 1 species
AUUGAUUUUAUGCUUGCAUAAAUGAUUUUUGGAUUCGGAGCGAGUGGCGAACUGGUGAGUAACACGUGGGUAACCUGCCCCGAAGCGGGGGAUAACAUUUGGAAACAAGUGCUAAUACCGCAUAAUUAGUUGGAACCGCAUGGUUCCAACUUGAAAGAUGGCUCUGCUAUCACUUUGGGAUGGACCCGCGCCGUAUUAGUUAGUUGGUGAGAUAAAAGCCCACCAAGACGAUGAUACGUAGCCGACCUGAGAGGGUAAUCGGCCACAUUGGGACUGAGACACGGCCCAGACUCCUACGGGAGGCAGCAGUAGGGAAUCUUCCACAAUGGACGAAAGUCUGAUGGAGCAACGCCGCGUGAGUGAUGAAGGUUUUCGGAUCGUAAAACUCUGUUGUUAAAGAAGAACAAGUGUUAGAGUAACUGUUAACACUUUGACGGUAUUUAACCAGAAAGCCACGGCUAACUACGUGCCAGCAGCCGCGGUAAUACGUAGGUGGCAAGCGUUGUCCGGAUUUAUUGGGCGUAAAGCGAGCGCAGGCGGUUUUGUAAGUCUGCUGUGAAAGCCCUCAGCUCAACUGGGGAAGUGCAGUGGAAACUACAAAACUUGAGUACAGAAGAGGAAAGUGGAACUCCAUGUGUAGCGGUGAAAUGCGUAGAUAUAUGGAAGAACACCAGUGGCGAAGGCGGCUUUCUGGUCUGUUACUGACGCUGAGGCUCGAAAGCAUGGGUAGCGAACAGGAUUAGAUACCCUGGUAGUCCAUGCCGUAAACGAUGAAUACUAGGUGUUGGAGGGUUUCCGCCCUUCAGUGCCGCAGCUAACGCAUUAAGUAUUCCGCCUGGGGAGUACGACCGCAAGGUUGAAACUCAAAGGAAUUGACGGGGGCCCGCACAAGUGGUGGAGCAUGUGGUUUAAUUCGAUGCUACGCGAAGAACCUUACCAGCUCUUGACAUCUUCUGCCAACCCAAGAGAUUGGGCGUUCCCUUCGGGGACAGAAUGACAGGUGGUGCAUGGUUGUCGUCAGCUCGUGUCGUGAGAUGUUGGGUUAAGUCCCGCAACGAGCGCAACCCUUAUUAUUAGUUGCCAGCAUUUAGUUGGGCACUCUAGUGAGACUGCCGGUGAUGAA